rnacentral:rRNA from 1 species
AGGACGAACGCUGGCGGCGUGCUUAACACAUGCAAGUCGAGCGGUAAGGCUCCUUCGGGAGUACACGAGCGGCGAACGGGUGAGUAACACGUGAGCAAUCUGCCCUUCACUCUGGGAUAACCCUCGGAAACGGGAGCUAAUACCGGAUACGACCACUUCAGGCAUCUGAUGGUGGUGGAAAGUUCUGGCGGUGAAGGAUGAGCUCGCGGCCUAUCAGCUUGUUGGUGAGGUAAUGGCUCACCAAGGCUUCGACGGGUA